rnacentral:lncRNA from 1 species
GUGAUUAUCGUAUUGAAGUCGCAGAAUAAGCGUCAUGAGAACGUGACCCGUAAAGGGAUCUUUGUAGAAGCGUAAUGAGGAUGUAGUAGCAUCGUGAAAACAAUAAAAAUCGAAACUUUCAUCCUGCUCGUAUCAUGACCUAACCUUUUAGAUCGCGGUGAGCGUGGUGCUAUAGUGGUUUAGUGUGACAUGGGCAUAACACAUGCUCCUUGUUUUUCUACCUUUUCUAUUUAUCAAAAUGAGCAACUGUUCUCAUCUUGUAUUUUUGGUACCGUACGUUACCUGCUUUCAUCGUGUCAGAAUACAUUUUUAAUAAUCGUGAAAUAAAUAUCACUUAUUGUUCAGUAAUUUCAUCUGUUGUUAUUAUUGUUAUUGAUCGUAACCAAUCAAUAAAC